rnacentral:rRNA from 1 species
AACGGAAAGGCCCUGCUUGCAGGGUACUCGAGUGGCGAACGGGUGAGUAACACGUGGGUGAUCUGCCCUGCACUUCGGGAUAAGCUUGGGAAACUGGGUCUAAUACCGGAUAGGARCCAUCUUUAGUGUGGUGGUUGGAAAGUUUUUUCGGUGUAGGAUGAGCUCGCGGCCUAUCAGCUUGUUGGUGGGGUAAUGGCCUACCAAGGCGGCGACGGGUAGCCGGCCUGAGAGGGUGUACGGCCACAUUGGGACUGAGAUACGGCCCAGACUCCUACGGGAGGCAGCAGUGGGGAAUAUUGCACAAUGGGCGCAAGCCUGAUGCAGCGACGCCGCGUGGGGGAUGAAGGCCUUCGGGUUGUAAACUCCUUUCGCUAGGGACGAAGCUUUUUUGUGACGGUACCUAGAUAAGAAGCACCGGCUAACUAC